GACAGCCGUGAGUGGAGAGGGGCUUGGGGGUCAUGUGCAGUGUAUUUAUGUAAGACUCCCAGACAGAGGGCACUGGUAUUUAUAUAACCUGGCGUGGGUAUUUAUGUAAUAUAGGAUGCAGUGUAUUUAUGUUCCUUUCCUAACCUGUGGCUUUCCCAGAUGCCAUGUAUGGUCUCUGAGUUGGCGUUAGUGGAAACCCGGCUUUGGGGGGUGGGGGGGUUGUUUGUGAGUACACAGCCAGCCCUCCCUUUCCUGUAGGGGUCAUAAGUGUGAACCUCUACAACCGUCUUCCCCUGGUGGGUGCACUUAGCAAGCUGGACCAUGUGUGGACCCGUGGUGCCAGGCUGGUGGGUUUUCUGCAGAUAUGCAGUACUGCUGUUGGCAUCCAGGGCAGCUCAGCUGGGCCAGGCCAGCCAUGUGGGCAGAGACCCAUGAUGGAGAGCCCAGAGUUUGGCUGGCACCCAGUGGCAGCCACUUCCUUGUGGCUGGUGGAAAGACUGUGGUGGCUCUCUGGGAGCUAGUACUAGGCUAGGGUGUCUCUCGUGGCUUGGAUCUCUUGGCUCUUGGGCUGAUCAAGGAGCCCUAGUGAAUCUCUCCCGGCUUCCUUCCAGGCCUGGCAGCUGGGGGCAGGCUUGGCCCAGGGAAGGGGCAGCACAGUCACUGUCUCACCUUCGAUUUUUACUUCUCAAGCCUGGAGUGAAAUAUGUUCUGGGUAGGAGGCCCUGUUUGGUUCUAGGUGAGGUUUCUGCCCUUGCCUUGCUGCUGGGUGGUAUGGGA
rnacentral:lncRNA from 1 species